UGCCUAACACAUGCAAGUCGAACGCGAAAGCCCCUUCGGGGGUAAGUAGAGUGGCGUCCGGGUGAGUAACACGUGGGUAAUCUGCCUUCGGGUGGGGAAUAACCCAGGGAAACUUGGGCUAAUACCGCAUAAUGCAGCGGCACCUAAUGGUGAUUAGUUGUUAAAGCGGGGGAUCGCAAGACCUCGCGCCUGAAGAGGAGCCUGCGGCAGAUUAGCUAGUUGGUGAGGUAAUGGCUCACCAAGGCUUCGAUCUGUAGCUGGUCUGAGAGGACGGCCAGCCACACUGGCACUGACACACGGGCCAGACUCCUACGGGAGGCAGCAGUGGGGAAUUUUGGGCAAUGGGCGAAAGCCUGACCCAGCAACGCCGCGUGAGGGAGGAAAUCCUUCGGGAUGUAAACCUC
rnacentral:rRNA from 1 species